rnacentral:lncRNA from 1 species
GCCAGUCUUCCACUUAACAGAUGGAUUUCAAAUUAACCUGUUAAAUUAGGUCAUAUUUUGGGGGUUUUAUUUCAAAUUCAAACCAAUCAGAAUUCACUCACUGAGAGGCUCUAAAAAAGUUAUUGGCCAUAUGCCCUUGGUAAAAAUCACAAAAUGUUUGCUUAAAAUCAAACCUCUUGCUAUGAAGAAACAAUUCAAUUACAUCAGAGGAUGCAAACCAGAGGCCUAAUACCCAGCCCACCAUGUACUGCUGAAGCCACAGAUUUUAAGAAAUAUUUACUAUAAUGUCAAAAUUUAUAUCAUCAAAUUUCAUAAACUCUCCACCUUUCUUGAUAAACUAGAAAAUUAGUGACUGCAUGUAUAAAUCCUUGCCACCAUCAACUGAAGCAAUUAACUUACUGCCUGUCCCCUUUAGAUGCCGUGUUCUCCAGUUACAGCCAGCCACUUCCAGGCCAUGGUUAUUUGGGGAUUUUGACCCUUCAUCUAGAGUGUUAAACAAGCAAAUUCUGUUCAUGGUUUUAGAAAACCAUCAACAAGCUUUUGCAGACUGUCACACUGUACCAUAAGGUACUUGGGGGCUGGGGGGCCUGCAGCAUGUGGAAAUUCCUGGGCCAGAGAUUGAAUCUGCACCACAGAAGUGACCCAAAUCACUGCAGCGCCACACGAGAAACCCUCCAUAAAGUACAUUUAAAGGUUUUCACAAAAUCUAAUUCUCCACAAUUCCAUUCAAUUGGCCAUUGUGCUUGGCCAAUAAGGUUAUGAAAUGGGUCCUUGGGUAAUUAAUAAAAGACAUAAUUUUUUUUUUUAAGGGCCAUACCUAUGGCAUAUGGAAUUCCUAGGCUAGGGGUCGAAGCUGCCAGCCUACGCCACGGUCACAGCAACUGGGAUCUGAGGCACAUCUGCGACCUUAAACCACAGCUCACAGCAAUGCCUGGUCCUUAACCACUGAGCAGGGACAGGGAUCAAACCCGCACCCUCAUGGAUAUCAGCCAGGUUGGUAAACGGCUGAGCCACAACAGGAACUCCUAAAAGGUAUAUAUUUUUCACCAAACAUUAGGUAUUAGUUAAGUUUUCAACUGCAGAGUGGUGACAAUAGCUACACUGGAGGCACAUGUACUACAAAUCCAAAACUUAUACUCGCCAAUUUCUCUAACACUCCCACUUUUCUUUGGCACAACAAAAGGCAGUUGACUAUAAAAGCCUUCUACCUAUGUAUGUCUAGUUUAUAACAAAGACCAAUUCUGGAUCAUGCAGGUUUCCUUCUGCCGAUGGCACCACACAGUAAUUAUCUUAGAUAUUAAGAUUCAGGACAGACGGAGAUAUUUAGGAAAAGGUGUGACCUCUCCUCACCUCCACUUUGCCUCUUUUCCUUCUCCCCAAAUAAAAUAGAUGGCAAACACUUAAAACACGGCAAGGAGCUUUAGCUUUGCUUAAUUAUAAGGGCCCAAGGCAACAUAUGGUUUAGACGUUAGAAGAAGGUCUUCAUGGGUGUUAAAACUCAAAGCAGUUCUUUUGAGCACGAUCCUUGCAUUUUAAAACAAACUAUGGAUCUCCUCAUCUGACAGCUUCAUUCCUUUGUGAGUGAAGACCCAGCUCAGGUUUUGAGGGCAGGGCAAAGCUAAGGUCUUAGUGACUUAACCAGGGAGCAAAAAUUGAACCCAGAGCCCAGUAUCUCCCUUUCCAGGCUGGAAAAUUAAGCUGUCCAAAUCAACACACCUAUAAAACAUGGUUACAAUGCCGAAAGCCACCCAAAAAAACCAAACUGGGGAAUGAAUCAUAAUCAACCUGAUUCCAUUUUAGCUGUGACAGUGCUUUUCCAGUUUGUAUUUACCUUUACCACCUACAAUCUCACCCUGGACAUUUCUACCGGGGCAGCAAACCUAUUCACAAUUCCACAGCGGCCUGGUCCCCUGCUGCUUGACUUCAAAUUUCUUCUUUCUUUCUUUGCUUUUUAGGACCACACCAGGGGCAUAUGAAAAUUCCCAGGCUGGGGUCGAAUAAGACCUACAGCUGCCAGCCUAAGCCACAGCCAGAACAACCAAACACUAAGUGAUCUUAUUAAAAGAAAACCAAUGAUUAUCUACUGGAUCUGAGGCAAGAUAAGGAUCCUUCCUUCACUAGAAAAGUGCUGUGAAGAUCAAAGAUGGUAACCACUUUGGUACAAUACUCUCUGAACUAAGCAAUAUGACCAGUUUAGUUUUAUAAUCAAAAUCUUGAGCUAAACCAUAUUAAAUAUCAGUCUUCAAUUUACAGACUUCAUACUUAAGAAGCAGCCACUGUAAAGAUUACUUAAUUUCAAAGAAAGCAAGCUGCUAAGUAGUUACUUAGUAAUAACCAAAACCUGUAAACAAAACCACUCUUAGGACAUAUAGUUCAAUGUAACAGAACUUAACAUCCAGAAAUAAACCCCAUAUACUGGGUCAACUGAUUUUCAACAAGAGUGCCACCACAAUUCAAUGGGGAAACAAAAGUUUUUUUCGACAAAGAGUGCCAGAACAACUGGAUAUCCACAUGCAAAAGAAUGAAUCUGGACCCCUACACCUCGCACCACAUAUAAACGUAACCUAAGACCAAUAACCUCCUUUAAAGAAGGAUAAAUAGCCAUUUCUCUAAAGAUGUGAUUAAUAAGAAAAAAGGGCCAAUAAGUACAUAAAAAAACCUCACAUCAUUUAUUAGUCAUCAAACCAAAAUCAUAAUGGGGUAUCACUUUCAGAUCCACGAGGAUGGCCAUAAUCAAAAAGAGACCAAGGAUGUGGAAAAAUUAAAUUACAUUACCAUUGCUGGUGGGAACGUAAAAUGGUCAGGUGCUUUGGAAAAGUUUAGCAGUUUAUCAAAAAAUUAACCAAAUGAUCCCGCAACUUCACUUACAGGUAUAUUCCUAACAGAAUUAAACACAAAACUUAAAUAUGAAUGCUCACAGCAACAUAUCUCAUUUGGAGUCAAAAUAACCAAGGUUCAAAUCCUGUCCCUGCUCACUCACUGACACUCUGGAACCCAGCCCCUCUGUAACAUCAAUACAAUGGACUAAAUGAUCCAUAAUACAGGAAAAGAGUUACCACACCCUCAAUAUAUAUAAGACCCCACCAUUAAGCCCUUCAAGUGAGCCACCUUAUCUCAUGGUGUCUAUUUUACAUAGGUGUAAACUGGUGCCAGGAAGUUUAAUAACUGGCUCCAAAUUACAAGGAGAGACAGCACUGGAUCUCCAAACUCAAACUCACCAUACCUCAGCCAAUUUCAAUUCUACAAGGCCAGAUAAUUCACGAUAUGAACAUGCAGACAACUGUCCCUAAAAAGAUUUUUCUGGGAGUUCCCCUCAUGGCUCAGUGGUUAACGAAUCCAACUAGGAACCAUGAGGUUGCGGGUUCGAUCCCUGGCCUUGCUCAGUGGGUUACAUAUCAGGCGUUGCUGUGGUGUAGGUCACAGACGCAGCUCAGAUCUUGUGUUGCUGUGGCUGUGGCCUAGGCCUGCAUCUACAGCUCCAAUUUGACCCCUAGCCUGGGAAACUCCAUAUGCCAUGGGUGCAGCCCUAAAAUAAAUAAAUAAAUAAAUAAGAACCAAGAGGAAAACCAGCUGGUACCUCCAACCCAAUUCUCAAGCCCAGCCUGAUUUUCCUCAUUUAAAACAUGUUUGAAUCCUCAGCAAAUGUAGGAAUUUAAAAUGAAGUAAACAAUAGAAUUUAAAAUGUAUUCACUUUUCAAGCUUGGAAAAUGAGGCAUGUUUACUUUGUACUAUUUUUCUUGAUCCAGCAAUGUAUACAGGUACCCAUACUGGUAGACAGCAAUCCAGCAAUUUAUACACCAGGAGCUUUUAAAAUGCUCCUCCAAUUGGGGGAAAAUACAUACAAAUGUAACCCAAAAAUUGUUAUUUAUGGGUGAGGGGCAGGGGGAACAAUUAUCUACUAUGUAGCAUCACUAUUCAUUAGAGCAAUAGCUUCCAAAAGUCUAUGAUCCACAUGAGAAAAAGGUUUUAUAAUUCAAAACAGUACUCAUACAUGUCUAUACAUACAUAAUACAAAAUACUAAUACAGUAAAAUACUACUAUUCACUAUUGUUCAAAAAUCAAUACUAACCCCUAUUCUUUUUCUACUUUAUUAUACAGAUUAAAUUGAUUUUAUGAUCCACUGAUGGUUUUCAACCUACAGUUUUUCAGAUUAAUACUGAUGAGAGCAAAUUUUGGAAACUAAAAUCUAACAGUUGAGAGUAGGCAAUGUUUAGUUAAGCAAGCUUUCAGAACACAGAACACAAUCCACAUAACAAAUAACAAGGAUCCAUAGAAAUGUUCAUUAAGAAAUAAAGUUAAAGAAAAACUAACAUGUACACUGUCACAACUACACAAUGUUUGACUAAAGAAAGAGAAAGGAGUUGGGUCACAGAGCAGGUUUACUUUCAGUUCUUCAGAUUUUCCCCUCUGAAGUCAGAGCACACUUCAGAAUCUGAGACUCGGAAAUAAUCUUGGGGCCUCUGUUAUGUUAACUCAUUAAAAUCAGUAUUUAAGGUCUCGGCAUUGUCACUGCUGUAGCUUGGGUCUGAUCCCUGGCCUGGACACUUCUCCAUGCUGUGGAGGCGGAAAAGGAAGGAAGGGAGGGAGGGAGAGAAAAAUAACUACAGAGAAAGAAAAAGGAAGGAAGGAAAGAUGAUGGGGGGGAGGAAAAUAUGAAAGUCACAAAGCACAAUGCCAGGUGCACAGAGGAUACUCAGUAACUUGUAGCUUCAAUCAUCAGUAUUAGAUAUUAACUAAAACAUUCUUAGACAAGACUAUUAGCUGAAACUAUCUGAAUGUGAUCUUUCAGAUAAUUCCUUUUCUAACUAAAAGUAACAUAACUUUCCAUGUAUCUUCUAUCCUUAUUCACGCACUACCUUAAUCUGUAGCUUGAACUCUUCCCAUCCCUAUUAAAAAUACUAAUAAUUAAACAUCACAAUUCAACUUGGACAAAAUGUUCCUGCGCAACAUAGCAGUGCAGGAAAGAUUAGAGCAAUGGCUUUCGGAUACAGCAGCUUCUUAGCAGCUGUGUUCUUGGGCAAAUUAAAUAACCUUCUUGAGGUUUAUUUCUCAUCAGUUGGGGAACUAACAUCCACACCCUCAGAAGACCGUUUUGAGGAUUAGGAACACAUGCAAAGCACCUUAAUGACCUAGAAGUAAGUACUCAACAAAUGGUAACCCUUGUUCUAAUAAAUCAAUCUGAGAGAGAAACUAACUUUAAAUUCCUGGAUAUACUUGUGACAGUCAAAAAUACUUAUCUUCAAUUUAAUCAUGCUGUGUCAACUUAAAAUGUGCUGUGAAGAGGCAUAUCUACUUAUUAAUUA